GUCUGCUAUAAUGUUUUUAACUUCUUCAAUAGAGAAGUUAUCUCCUUUGUGUUGUUUAUAAUAACAAAACAAAUUUUGCUCGAAGUACUAUGACUGUACCUAGUCCUUACUGUCAUAUGUACAAUAAUAUUCAUUUCCCAUAAAAGCCAAGUGUAUUACCAUGUGCACUUGGUUUUU
rnacentral:sRNA from 26 species